rnacentral:rRNA from 1 species
CUACGGGCGGCUGCAGUGAGGAAUAUUGCACAAUGGGGGGAACCCUGAUGCAGCAACGCCGCGUGGAGGAUGAUGCAUUUCGGUGUGUAAACUCCUCUUAUAUGUCAAGAAAAUGACGGUAGCAUAUGAAUAAGCACCGGCUAACUCCGUGCCAGCAGCCGCGGUAAUACGGAGGGUGCAAGCGUUACUCGGAAUCACUGGGCGUAAAGGACGCGUAGGCGGGUUGGAAAGUCAGGUGUGAAAUCCUACAGCUUAACUGUAGAACUGCACUUGAAACUUCUAAUCUAGAGUAUGGGAGGGGGAGAUGGAAUUAGUGGUGUAGGGGUAAAAUCCGUAGAUAUCACUAGGAAUACCUAAAGCGAAGGCGAUCUCCUGGAACAUUACUGACGCUAAGGCGUGAAAGCGUGGGGAGCAAACAGGAUUAGAUACCCCCGUAGUC